AGAAUCAACGCUGGCGGCGUGCCUAACACAUGCAAGUCGAACGAGAAAGUGGAGCAAUCCAUGAGUAAAGUGGCGACCGGGUGAGUACCACGUGACUACCUACCCUUGAGUGGGGGAUAACCUCGGGAAAACCGAGGCUAAUACCGCAUAAUAUCGAAAGAUCAAAGGAGUAAUCCGCUUUUGGAGGGGGUCGCGGCUGAUUAGCUAGUUGGUAGGGUAAUGGCCUACCAAGGCGAAGAUCGGUA
rnacentral:rRNA from 1 species